GGAGGUGGAAGAAAAGUAUCUUCAGUCUGAGCAUUGUGUUCAUGACUUGAAGACUGCCUUGGAUGAUAAGGAAAGAGAAGCAACAGUUUCUGCCCAGAAACUGCAGGACCACCUGUUGGCAUCUUCUGAGACUAACACUACUAUAAAACAACUGGAAGAACACGUUCAACACCUUGAAAUUGAAAACACCAGAUUGGAAGCAACAGUCCAACAACAAAACAAUAGGAUUGAAGCCCUACAGAGAGACCUGCAAGCUUCUGCCUCAGUUCAUAACCGCCUGGAGGACUUGAUAACGAGCUUACAGACAGCUCAGGCAGCUGCAGAGGACCACCAUAAGCAGGUGCAAAGGCAGAAUGUGCUGGCUCUGU
rnacentral:lncRNA from 1 species